AUGUUUGUCCGCUUCAUGGAGUUGCAGAUUCAUUUCUUGGUACCGUACGUUGAUUCAGUGAGAUGUGUGCUGAUUUGUACAUAUACAAAAUUGGCACCAAAGUGGUCAGCCGAAGGAUACUCAGAGAUCUCUCAUCGCUCAAUGGGCUCUUCUUCCAGCAGUAUCGACACUAAGCGGAUGCGUCAUGAGAAAAGAACGAUUGAUGAGCUGCUCCAUCACCUCGUGCACCACGCACACCAAAAUGGGUGGACCAUCUUCAUUGCCAAUCAGUACGGAGAGGGAUGGUUUGGCCUACCAGACAAAGAAUAG
rnacentral:rRNA from 1 species